CCAACCUUUUCUUGCACUAGAUUUUUGGUUCUCCUUCUGAGGAAGAUUUGAGAACAAUCAUUUACCAGAAUAGUUUCCAGUUAUAAGUUUGCAGUUUUUCAAAUUUAUCGUAAUGACUUAUUUGUCUUUUUAAUAAAUUUGUGGUGUGGUUUGACCAUAUGUUUGAGGGUUUGGUAAUCAUAGGUACGAUGUUUAAAUAACCACACAUUUGACAAACUUGAGAGUUGUCGUUGAUCGUUCGAAAACGAUAUAUUCCCUGUUUAAGAAAUAAUUCCAUCUUUGGUUGCAUUUUAGCCUCCACUUUACUUUGAAUACAUCAUGGUUCUAUUUUGUGACCAAUGACUUAUUAUUAUUCACAAUGCUAGCAAGAAUUUCAAAUAAUGGAAUAGCACCCGUUGGGUGAAUCUGAUGAUUUUAUGAAUUUCCAUGUUUCUUCAUCAUGAAAAUGGUAGGACUAUCAUAAGAAUAUGUAAAGUGUAUUGAGGGCUUUUCAACUGGAUCUUCGGAUGAAAAUAUUUGAUCAUGAGAUCUCAACUUAAAGUUGAUUGAGUGGCAAAAUUCUUUGCUGCGAUAGACUUGAUGUCUUGAAAAAUGAAUGGGAGAUCAUUCGCGAUGUGCUCAUGGCAACAUGUUUAUCUUAAGGGAAUAUUCAAGGUG
rnacentral:lncRNA from 1 species